rnacentral:rRNA from 1 species
UAUAAGACUGGGAUAACUUCGGGAAACCGGAGCUAAUACCGGAUAAUAUUUCGAACCGCAUGGUUCGAUAGUGAAAGGUGGUUUUGCUAUCACUUAUAGAUGGACCCGCGCCGUAUUAGCGUAGUUGGUAAGGUAACGGCUUACCAAGGCGACGAUACGUAGCCGACCUGAGAGGGUGAUCGGCCACACUGGAACUGAGACACGGUCCAGACUCCUACGGGGAGGCAGCAGUA